rnacentral:rRNA from 1 species
ACUUAAAAUUCAAAGAAUUUGGCGGUAUUUUAGUCUAGUUAGAGGAACCUGUUUUAUAAAUGAUACAACACGUAAAAUCUUACUAGUUUUUGUUAAACAGCUUGUAUACCGUCAUUAUUAGAUAAUUUUUAUAGAAAGAAUUAUUGAAAGUAUAAAUUUAAGUAUAUUAGAUCAAGGUGCAGCUAAUGAAUUAGUAAAAAUGGGUUACAAUAAGAUUAAUUAUUACGAAUUAGAAUUUGAAUAGGUUCUAUGAAGGGGGAUUUAAUUGUAAUUAUAUUUUAAUAAGUUAUAGUGAUAUAAGUACUAAAUUAUGUACAUAUCGCCCGUCGCU